rnacentral:rRNA from 11 species
AGGCGCUUGAGAGAACUCGGGAGAAGGAACUCGGCAAAUUGACACCGUAACUUCGGGAGAAGGUGUGCCCCAAGUAGGUGAGUCUGCACGCCAGACGAGCCCAACGGGGUCGCAGAGAAUCGGGGGCUGCGACUGUUUAUUAAAAACAUAGCACUCUGCUAACACGAAAGUGGACGUAUAGGGUGUGACGCCUGCCCGGUGCCGGAAGGUUAAGUGAUGGGGUGCAAGCUCCUGAUCGAAGCCCCGGUAAACGGCGGCCG